rfam:Lactobacillus rennini DSM 20253 NODE_98, whole genome shotgun sequence.
UAAGAUGAGAGUUUGAUCCUGGCUCAGGACGAACGCUGGCGGCGUGCCUAAUACAUGCAAGUCGCACGCACAACUGUUAACCGAUCCUGCUUGCAGGUGACGUUAAUGGACGUGAGUGGCGGACGGGUGAGUAACACGUGGGUAACCAACCCUGAAGCGGGGGAUAACCUUUGGAAACAGAGGCUAAUACCGCAUAGUUUAUCGCGACCUCCUGGUCGCAAUAAUAAAGACGGCUUCGGCUGUCACUUCAGGACAGACCCGCGGCGUAUUAGCUAGUUGGUGGGAUAAAGGCCUACCAAGGCGAUGAUACGUAGCCGACCUGAGAGGGUAAUCGGCCACAUUGGGACUGAGACACGGCCCAAACUCCUACGGGAGGCAGCAGUAGGGAAUCUUCCACAAUGGACGCAAGUCUGAUGGAGCAACGCCGCGUGAGUGAAGAAGGGUUUCGGCUCGUAAAACGCUGUUGUUGGAGAAGAACCGGGGGUAGAGUAACUGUUAUCCCCUUGACGGUAUCCAACCAGAAAGCCACGGCUAACUACGUGCCAGCAGCCGCGGUAAUACGUAGGUGGCAAGCGUUGUCCGGAUUUAUUGGGCGUAAAGCGAGCGCAGGCGGUUUUUUAAGUCUGAUGUGAAAGCCUUCGGCUUAACCGAAGAAGGGCAUCAGAAACUGAGAAGCUUGAGGACAGAAAAGGAAAGUGGAACUCCAUGUGUAGCGGUGAAAUGCGUAGAUAUAUGGAAGAACACCAGUGGCGAAGGCGGCUUUCUGGUCUGUUACUGACGCUGAGGCUCGAAAGUAUGGGGAGCGAACAGGAUUAGAUACCCUGGUAGUCCAUACCGUAAACGAUGAAUGCUAAGUGUUGGAGGGUUUCCGCCCUUCAGUGCUGCAGCUAACGCAUUAAGCAUUCCGCCUGGGGAGUACGACCGCAAGGUUGAAACUCAAAGGAAUUGACGGGGGCCCGCACAAGCGGUGGAGCAUGUGGUUUAAUUCGAAGCAACGCGAAGAACCUUACCAGGUCUUGACAUCCUUUGACCGCUGUCGAGAGACAGUUUGCCCUUCGGGGCCAAAGUGACAGGUGGUGCAUGGUUGUCGUCAGCUCGUGUCGUGAGAUGUUGGGUUAAGUCCCGCAACGAGCGCAACCCUUAUGACUAGUUGCCAGCAUUUAGUUGGGCACUCUAGUGAGACUGCCGGUGACAAACCGGAGGAAGGUGGGGAUGACGUCAAAUCAGCAUGCCCCUGAUGACCUGGGCUACACACGUGCUACAAUGGUCGGGACAACGAGUAGCGCGCCCGCGAGGGUUAGCUAAUCUCUAAAAACCGAUCUCAGUUCGGAUUGCAGGCUGCAACUCGCCUGCAUGAAGCCGGAAUCGCUAGUAAUCGCGGAUCAGCAUGCCGCGGUGAAUCCGUUCCCGGGCCUUGUACACACCGCCCGUCACACCAUGAGAGUUUGUAACACCCAAAGCCGGUGGGGCAACCCUUCGGGGAGCUAGCCGUCUAAGGUGGGACAGAUGAUUGGGGUGAAGUCGUAACAAGGUAGCCGUAGGAGAACCUGCGGCUGGAUCACCUCCUUU